rnacentral:tRNA from 1 species
CGUUAAGAAGCUAUGUACCAGCACUAGCCUUUUAAGCUAGAGACAGAGGACUUUCCCCCCUCCUUAAUGA